rnacentral:lncRNA from 1 species
UCUUUCCUUCCUUUUGAUAAUCUCGGCCGAACACACACAGAUACCCACUUCCUUUCAAAUUUCAAACAUUUUCCUUGAAGAUCAAAGCCAUUUCAAGCUAGUUUCAAGGUGUUUUGAAGAUUCAAGGGUGAUUUCAAGGUGAUUCCAAGAAGGUGCAAGCUCCAUAUCAUCAAACCUUGUCAAAAACCAACCAAGAUCUUGAAGGUAUAAACUUAUUUUUAAAAAUCAUGUUCUUGAUCUUUGGUGAUGAUGAUGAUAGUGGAAGAUACAUGAGUCCGGCUUCGGGAAUUUUGGCUUGUAUUGUCAUUUGGUUGUGUGAUGCGAUUGUAAUUAAAUAAUGUUUGGACACUUUUAAACUACAUAUGGGACCGUGUGUAAUAAGACCCCUAAGGGUCAAACAACUAAGAUGUGGAUCCAAAUGUCCAACAUAAAUAUUGCAUCGACCACUAAGACAUUUAUGGGUAACAACCUCCGUCACUGUCACGUUUGUAUUUCCGCUGCGACGUUUUUGGGGUGU